AGAGUUUGAUCCUGGCUCAGAGCGAACGCUGGCGGCAGGCUUAACACAUGCAAGUCGAGCGGGCGUAGCAAUACGUCAGCGGCAGACGGGUGAGUAACGCGUGGGAACGUACCUUUUGGUUCGGAACAACACAGGGNAAACUUGUGCUAAUACCGGAUAAGCCCUUACGGGGAAAGAUUUAUCGCCGAAAGAUCGGCCCGCGUCUGAUUAGCUAGUUGGUGAGGUAACGGCUCACCAAGGCGACGAUCAGUAGCUGGUCUGAGAGGAUGAUCAGCCACAUUGGGACUGAGACACGGCCCAAACUCCUACGGGAGGCAGCAGUGGGGAAUAUUGGACAAUGGGCGCAAGCCUGAUCCAGCCAUGCCGCGUGAGUGAUGAAGGCCCUAGGGUUGUAAAGCUCUUUUGUGCGGGAAGAUAAUGACGGUACCGCAAGAAUAAGCCCCAGCUAACUUCGUGCCAGCAGCCGCGGUAAUACGAAGGGGGCUAGCGUUGCUCGGAAUCACUGGGCGUAAAGGGUGCGUAGGCGGGUCUUUAAGUCAGGGGUGAAAUCCUGGAGCUCAACUCCAGAACUGCCUUUGAUACUGAGGAUCUUGAGUUCGGGAGAGGUGAGUGGAACUGCGAGUGUAGAGGUGAAAUUCGUAGAUAUUCGCAAGAACACCAGUGGCGAAGGCGGCUCACUGGCCCGAUACUGACGCUGAGGCACGAAAGCGUGGGGAG
rnacentral:rRNA from 1 species